rnacentral:rRNA from 1 species
CAGCCGCCGCGGGAAUACGAAGGGUGCAAGCGUUACUCGGAAUUACUGGGCGUAAAGCGUGCGUAGGUGGUGGUUUAAGUCCGUUGUGAAAGCCCUGGGCUCAACCUGGGAAUUGCAGUGGAUACUGGGUCACUAGAGUGUGGUAGAGGAUAGUGGAAUUUCCGGUGUAGCAGUGAAAUGCGUAGAGAUCGGAAGGAACAUCUGUGGCGAAGGCGACUAUCUGGGCCAACACUGACACUGUGGCACGAAAGCGUGGGGAGCAAACAGGAUUAGAUACCCCUGUAGUCCCUGUCUCUUAUAC